rnacentral:lncRNA from 1 species
GAGAGAGUUCUGUAAAUUUAUUCGCACAACGCACAACUGAAGUGUGCUCUGCGAAUUUUUCAAAAAAAAAUAAAAAAAAAAUCAAAAGGGUAAAUUAACAUAGCACACAUGUGGUGGCUAAGCUAAUUAUGCCAUUUCUUAAAAAAAACAUUAUAUUGAAAUGUAUAAAAGAAAAAUGUAUCAGCAUAGCACACACCCCUAUGCGCUCAGCAUUGCAG